CAAUGAGCGAACCAGCCAAAACAGAGGGAGAGAUAAACGCGUGAGACAGCCAUCUAAAAGAAUGUUGUUGUAUUCUCAGGACACAGAUUCAGAUUCAAGUCUACAGAAGAGUUAAGGAAAGCGUCCUGCCAGAAAGAUCCAGAAAGUUGAUACAUUAGCAACAAUAACUAAGGGGACACUGGAACGCCAUAGCACGUCUGACGAUGAGAUGACUGUCGGUGCUGGAUAGGAUGACCCUCUACAGUCAGCAGCAGUAUUGACAAGAUGUGUUUUCCUUUUAUGCAGAGACACUAGAAGAUGUCAAUAAAUCUUUCAGACAUGCUGCAUACAGACAAUUUACCAUCUUAAUGCAUGGGAAACCGACUGGUGGAGACAGAAUAACUGUCCCAGCAUGUUGUGUUAAAUUAAUAAGGGAGAAGUUUGCUAGUCCUUAAGCCCAGUAUACAGGCUUCGUACCAGGUGAAGGCCCAGUGUUCUAAUAAUUUUGCAUAUUUAUGCCCCCCUUCGAAGAAGAAGGGGUAUAUAGUUUUGCACAUGUCGGUCCGUCCACCAGAUGGUUUCGGGAUGAUAACUUAAGAACGCUUAGGCCUAGGAUCAUGAAACUUCAUAGGUACAUUGAUCAUGACUGGCAAAUAACCCCUAUUGAUUUUCAGGUCACUAGGUCAAAGGUCAGUGACUCGAAACAGUAAAGCGGUUUCCGGAUGAUAACUCAAGAAUGCUUACGCCUAGGAUCUUGAAACUUCAUAGGUACAUUGAUCACGACUGGCAGAUGACCCCUUUAGAUUUUCCGGUCACAAGGUCAAAGGUCAAGGUCACAGUGACUCAAAACAAUAAAAUGGUUUCCAGCUGAUAACUCUAGAAUGCUUACGCCUUUUGAUCAUGAAACUUCAUAGCUACAUUGAUAAUGACUGGCAGAUGACCCCUUUUGAUUUUCAGGUCACUAGGUCAAGGUCACAGUGACUCGAAAUAGUAAAAUGGUUUCCUGAUGAUAACUCAAGAAUAAUUAGGCCUAGGAUCAGGAAACUUAAUAGGUACAUUGAUCAUGACUGACAGAUGACCCCUAUAUAUUUUCAGGUCACUAUGUCAAAGGUCAAGGUCACAGUGACAAAAAACGUACUCACACAAUGGCUGCCACUACAACUGACAGCCCAUAUGGGGGGGGGCAUGCAUGUUUUGCAAACAGCCCUUGUUGCUAUUCUUUUUCAUUUAUCAGACAUAGAACUUUUCUUAGUUUUGAUUAUUUUUUGUUCUGGCUCCUUUUUUGAAACAUUUAUAUUUAUGAAAAUCAUUUGAGUUAUGCUUAAUCAUUUGGAUUUUUCAGUUCUAUGCAUUUUGUUUUGAAAUACCAAUUUUUGUGAAAUGUGCUAGUUUAUUAUUAAAACUUGCACAGCAGUUUUUACAUGUGUAUGCUUACUUUGGUGUCAUUUGAAUGAUAUGCCACGAGUACUCUGGAUUGUAAGAUGAAAUAAAUAAAAGAAGCAAUGACAUAUUUCUUAAGAAUGCUAUGUAAAUAAACUAAUUGAAUAUCAAAAUUCAUUUCUUGUAUACUUAUUUUAUUUUCUUGUUUGAACUUAAUAGUUUGAUUUUUACACUUUUUAGCUCACCUGAACACAAUGUGCUCAUGGUGAGCUUUUGUGAUCGCCUUUUGUCUGUCGUGCGGCGUCUACAUUUGCCUUGUUAACACUCUACAGCCGUACAGGCCACAUUUAUUGCCCAAUCUAAAUGAAAUUUGUCAAAAGAUUGGUCUCAAGGAUAUUUUGGAUGAGUUCAAAAAUGGUAACGUUUGCUUGAAAAGACCGUUCAUAAAAAACAGUCAAUAGUGUAUUACCUGUUUUUAUUUUUUUAUAUCUUUUGCUUUUAUUGAAUUUUAAGUUUGCAUUUUGAUUUUUUUAUUAUGCCCCCCUUCGAAGAAGAGGAGGUAUGUUGUUCGCUCAUGUCGGUCGGUCGGUGUGUCCGUCCACCGAAUGGUUUCCGGAUUAUAACUCAAGAACGCUUACGCCUAGGAUCAUGAAACUUCAUAGGUACAUUGAUCAUGACUGGCAGAUGACCCCUAUUGAUUUUUAGGUCACUAGGUCAAAGGUCAAGGUUACGGUGACUCGCACAGAAAAAUGGUUUCCGGAUGAUAACUCAAGAACGCUUAAGCCUAGGAUCAUGAAACUAAAUAGGUACAUUGAUCAUGACUCGCAGAUGACCGCUAUUGAUUUUCAGGUCACUAGGUCAAGGUGACUCGACACAGUAAAAUAGUUUCCGGAUGAUAACUCAAGAAAGCUUACGCCUAGGAUCAUGAAACUUCAUAGGUUCAUUGAUCACGACUCGCAGAUGACCCCUAUUGAUUUUCAGGUCACUAGGUCAAAGGUCACAGUGACAAAAAACGUAUCACACAAUGGCUGCAACUACAACUGACAGCCCAUAUGGGGGGCAUGCAUGUUUUACAAACAGCCCUUGUUUAUUUUUAUUUUGAGUCAUUUUGUUUCACACUUGAUAUUUUGUUAGAUUAGGUUUCUUAAAAUACAUUUCAAACAUGACAUAUGCUAAUGCAUGAAUUAACAUUUUGAAAUCAAUAAAAAAGCAACAAGUUUUAAAUUAAAAAAAAUAGUAUCUUAUUAUUGUUCAACCAUGUUUUGUAUAUUGUGUGCUUUCUUUAUGUAGUAACCUGUGCAGACCGUCUACAUUUUAGCUCAGCCGAGUUUUUCCUAUCAAAUAAAUUGAUAUACAAUU